rnacentral:rRNA from 1 species
CACGUAGGGUGCGAGCGUUGUCCGGAAUUAUUGGGCGUAAAGAGCUCGUAGGCGGUGUGUCGCGUCGGCCGUGAAAACCUGCAGCUUAACUGUGGGCUUGCGGUCGAUACGGGCAUCACUGGAGUUCGGCAGGGGAGACUGGAAUUCCUGGUGUAGCGGUGAAAUGCGCAGAUAUCAGGAGGAACACCGGUGGCGAAGGCGGCAUCCUGGACCGACACUGACGCUGAUGAGCGAAAGCCAGGGGAGCAAACGGG